CUGUACCUGUGUCAGCUUGCGGUGCAGAUGGAGCUCUCUUCAUCCGCUGAGGAUCAGGACAGCAGGAUUCACUCUGGAUCUUUAUUUCUUCAAGACCUUUUCUUAAUCGAGAUUCAGGACGGUUUUAAAAACAUUCUGGAUAAUUCUGCAUUUUUCCUCUUCUCACAGAAAACACACAGAAAACAGCUGGUGCAUCAGAAACCACAGACGAGCAAAAACCAACAGGACAGAGAGAAAAAUGGAGGAGAGAAAUGAAACACAAUCCACUGGAUCUCAAGAGAAAAGCAGACAGAGAUGUGACAGUAUGAAGAGAUCAAGACUGUCGUUUUCAGAUGAUCCAGGAGUGGAGGGAAAGUUUCAUUCUGAUGUUAAAAGCUCUUCAGAACUUUCUCAAGAACACACAACAUCAGUGAAACACCAGCAGCUGAAGACCUGAACAUCUUCAUCAUCAUCUUCAUCACCAUCAUCUUCAUCAUCUCAGACUCCAUCUCUCCAGUCUCCAGACUACAGUCUCUUCAGCUCCAGAACUGUUUUCAGACUCAUCUGAUCACAAACUAACAGACUAAUGAACCGUUUCUUUCUCAGAUCUGUGUCUGAGAACCGUUUUAUUGAUCUGGAGCAGCACUUUAUGAGAUUAUUUUCACAUCUGCAUCACACAGAGACUCGUUUUUCUUUGACAAAAUAUCAGUUCAAGUGUUCACUGCAUCAUAUAUUCCAUGCAUUUUCAUUUCUGUAUUUCUGUAUAUUGUGAAUCAUUUAAGAGAUUCUAUCCACCUUAUUUAAUUCUAACAGAAACGCAGGCGUGACUAUUUGUUAUUAAAUGUACAGUAUCUGGCUUCCGCUGUUGUACAGUUCCAGUUAUUUUUAGCACGUUAUGUUUCCUGACAUUGAAAAACCAGUCCAGUAUUGUAGAGAUUCUCAAGUCUGGCUCAGGAUCCACUUUCCUGCAGAGUCUAUCUCCAAUCCUGAUCAAACUCACUCUUUCUAGCGAUCCUGAAGACCUUGAUGAACCGGUUCAGGUGUGUUCGAUGAGGGCUGGAGAAAAACCCUGAAACAACUGCCUUAUUGCUUGUCAUGUUAUUUUAAUGUAUUGUCAUAAUUACUGUAUAAAUACACCGGUCUGUAGUGUGACUAGAUUUACCGUUUACAGCACUCUAAUCCUAGUUAUUUCCACAUUACAGCUAAUGGAAAUAAAGAAUUGCACAUUCACAGAAAAUUGCUUGAAUGUUGCAAAAUAAGGUGGAUAUAUCUCUGAAUAUUUUCAUACUCUUCCAUACUGUUUAUUGAACAUUCAUUUCUCAUCUUUUCAGUCCGUUCUAAAAGAAUGCAACAACUAUUGUGUUUGUACGACUGAGUUAUGCUAAACUAAUCUGCAUGUUUUUAUCCGUUCUCCAACCACUCGUCAUGUGUGAGAUCAGAUCAUGGUGAGAACCUGGAAGGAGUGAAUCGAUCUGAACAGACAGCGCUCCAUUACAGGACUCAUGCACUCACAAACAUAGUCACAUAUUCAUGCUAUUAGUUUCUUUAUAAUACACUGUGAAACAGCAUUUCUGUUAUUUAUGGCUCAGAUGACUGGCCUUAAUUAACUGUUUUAUAUAUAUAUAUGCUGAAAUAACACUAUUUAACAUCAUAUUUGUGUGUUGCUUGUGUGUGAAGGUGCUGUAUAGUGUUACAUGUACAGUUGUAAGUGUUUACUGUACCAGUGUUUGUGUUGCUGUAAUAGUGUUUUCUGUACUGUAAUCUCACUGUACUGUAAUCUGUUGACAGACUAACAGUAACAGAGUAACUGUAUGUAACACUGUUGGGUUUACCCUGUAUCCCGCUGUUAUUGUUUCACAGCCCGAAUCCAAGAAAAUCCAAGAUUGUUGUUGUGGAAUGUUUGUCGGUAUUUAUUGCAAAAAAAUAUAAAGUACAAAACAAAUAAUGCGAACUGGUUUAAAAGUCUUUAAAUAUUCCUUUGUAGCGCUUGGAGUUUAGUUUUCUCCUAUAAGCAAAAGCUCCAGCAACACAGAUCCAGAGCGAGGUCAAAGACUGUAUCUGCAGCACGGCUUCUC